CUAUGCGCCUUGCCAGCCCGCUCAGGUGUGCCAGCCGCCGCGGUAAUACGUAUGGUGCGAGCGUUGUCCGGAUUUACUGGGCGUGAAGGGGGCGCAGGCGGCGCGCCAAGCCCGAUGUGAAAGCCCGGGGCUCAACCCCGGGACUGCAUUGGGAACUGGCGUGCUGGAGUGCCGGAGGGGCAGGCGGAAUUCCUGGUGUAGCGGUGAAAUGCGUAGAUAUCAGGAGGAACACCGGUGGCGAAGGCGGCCUGCUGGACGGAUACUGACGCUGAGGCCCGAAAGCGUGGGGAGCGAACAGG
rnacentral:rRNA from 1 species